rnacentral:rRNA from 1 species
AGUGAACGCUGGCGGUAGGCCUAACACAUGCAAGUCGAACGGCAGCACAGAGGAGCUUGCUCCUUGGGUGGCGAGUGGCGGACGGGUGAGGAAUACAUCGGAAUCUACUCUGUCGUGGGGGAUAACGUAGGGAAACUUACGCUAAUACCGCAUACGACCUACGGGUGAAAGCAGGGGACCUUCGGGCCUGACGCGAUUGAAUGAGCCGAUGUCGGAUUAGCUAGUUGGCGGGGUAAAGGCCCACCAAGGCGACGAUCCGUCGCUGGUCUGAGAGGAUGAUCAGCCACAAUGGAACUGAGACACGGUCCAGACUCCUACGGGAGGCAGCAGUGGGGAAUAUUGGACAAUGGGCGCAAGCCUGAUCCAGCCAUACCGCGUGGGUGAAGAAGGCCUUCGGGUUGUAAAGCCCUUUUGUUGGGAAAGAAAUCCAGCUGGCUAAUACCCGGUUGGGAUGACGGUACCCAAAGAAUAAGCACCGGCUAACUUCGUGCCAGCCGCCGCAGUAA